rnacentral:lncRNA from 1 species
AUGAGCUUAUGGAAAAACAAUUUAAAUGUUCUUUUCUUGCUCACUUCAGUUUGUAGAUUCAGACUUAUCCUGCACUUUUUAAUCCCGAACCAGCCAUUGCAGUACGUGUUUCCCGACUCCUUGGCCACACGAUCUCUCCUGGCCUUCUGGGCACAGAACCACGUGACUGCUGUGGACACUGGGAGGCAGAAGGGAAACACGUAUUUCUGGGCUUCCCACCCAUCCAAGGACGGGGUCUGUCCGAAAUGCUCUGUAACCUGUCGGCCGGGAGCCUGGACGGCGGGCAGGGGCCUCCUCCUUUGCUCCCCAGGAGGGCAGCACAGGGGGCUGGGGGCGGUAAAGGGGCGUAGCGGGAGGAGAUGCCCGAGUUGUCUCUACUCCCCGGAGGGUGCCUCCCACCCUCCUCAGGUCCCCACUCGAGGCCAGCAGGAGACGGUGACGGGUCCAGGCUGGUCGGGACCCCGCAGCCAGUGUCCCCACGCACUGCCCAAGGCUAGCGGGCCUCCGAGCUCGUCGGUCCUUCCGCGUCCUACACUGGCGGGGCGGCCACGGGAAGCCCGGAAGUACCUGGAAGGGCCGGACACUUGGCCGACAGGCGCCGGGCGCCGGCUCGCUCCACAUUCACUGGGGCAGCCACAGGCGUCCGCUGUGCACACGCAGGGGGCGCGGCCCGUCAGCGUGGGGCUGGGAGGCGCGUACUCCGGAGGGACGGCCCAAGGGGAUGAGGAAGGAUGCGGUCGCCGGACCACGCGCCAGGGGCCUGCCUCCUACAGCCCCGUCCCUCCUCAACUGCGCCACACGACCCGCUUCCGCAGGAGGCAGGGGUCUGGGCGGACCCGCGAGCAGGCGGAGUCCUCAGGAGACAGAUUUUGCUGCCCCAGCAGGGGCCCCGAACAAGAGCCAGGUGACCACAGGGAGGGCUGUGCUGCUACCACAGUCCCGGCAUCAGCGACGGUGCGUGUGUGGCCCCACGCUGCGCCUCCAACUGCACCGGGGCGACCUUCGUCCUCCUCGUGA